rnacentral:rRNA from 1 species
UACAGAGGGGGCAAGCGUUAAUCGGAAUUACUGGGCGUAAAGCGCACGUAGGCGGCUUGGUAUGUCGGGUGUGAAAUCCCCGGGCUCAACCUGGGAACUGCAUCCGAAACUGCCUUGCUCGAGUAUGGGAGAGGGAAGUGGAAUUUCCGGUGUAGCGGUGAAAUGCGUAGAUAUCGGAAGGAACAUCAGUGGCGAAGGCGACUUCCUGGACCAAUACUGACGCUCAGGUGCGAAAGCGUGGGGAGCAAACAGG